AGUGAGCAUGCCGCGGUGGGAGAGACCUGGGCUUUCUUCCUACCAAGAAAGAGAAAGAAUCUGGAUUAAAGGACUACAUUUCCCGGCAUGCUCUGAAAGGGGCGUGGCUUCACUCCCUUUUGCCGGCUGGGAAAAACGAGGCUUUUAAGCGACGCUGAGGAGAAGAAGUAUGGCAGAGUUAAAAGGUGAGCGGGGCUGGGCUGCGUCUACACGGGAUGGAAGCGAAGCGGAGUCACUCCGGUUUAGAUGGGAGGGGGGAGGGGUAUGAUCCGGACCUCGGAAAUCAAGGUCUGGGCGAUACACCGCCUUCUCUCCGGCCGCGUCUACACUGGAGAAUGAAUGUGGCGUGAUACUGCUUUAGCUGCCCAUAGCUGUGUCCAGUCUUGAGCCUUCUCUGCCCAAAGAGGCCAUAAUAUCGAGCCGUGGCGCUUCAAGUGGGGUCAAACUGCGUUAAUUCUUCUGUGUAGACCCCACAGAAGAAUUCUAACCUUCCAUUGCUUCUCACCCCUUUCUCUUUGGCCCCAAAUAAAAUCCAGAUUAUCUGCUUCGAACUGGAUUAUAUGACAGUGUAAACCCAGGCCCCUUCUACACAGCCAGGUAAUCCAGGUUAGCAAAGCAGGAAAUCCACAUUAUCUGAUUGGAUCAUUUUAGGACCCUUCCAGGCAGGCCCUAUUUAUUUAUUUUAAUUCUAUGUUUUAUGAUCUUCAGCCUAGAUUUUAAAUUUUGUCAAUGAUUCAAUUUUAUAAUGGUUUUUAUUAAUGUUGAAGCUUUUAGCCUAGAUUUUAAAUUUCGUCAAUGAUUCAAUUUUAUAAUGGUUUUUGUUAAUGUUGAAGCUUUUAGCUUAGAUUUUAAAUUUUGUCAAUGAUUCAAUUUUAUAAUGGUUUUUAUUAAUGUUGAAGCUUUUAGCCUAGAUUUUAAAUUUUGUCAAUGAUUCAAUUUUAUAAUGGUUUUUAUUAAUGUUGAAGUUUUUAGCCUAGAUUUUAAAUUUUGUCAAUGAUUCAAUUUUAUAAUGGUUUUUAUUAAUAUUAAAGUUUUUAGCCUAGAUUUUAAAUUUUGUCAAUGAUUCCAUUUUAUAAUGGUUUUUAUUAAUGUUGAAGCUUUUAGCCUAGAUUUUAAAUUUUGUCAAUGAUUCCAUUUUAUAAUGGUUUUUAUUAAUGUUGAAGCUUUUAGCCUAGAUUUUAAAUUUUGUCAAUGAUUCAAUUUUAUAGUGGUUUUUGUUAAUGUUGAAGCUUUUAGCCUAGAUUUUAAAUUUUGUCAAUGAUUCCAUUUUAUAAUGGUUUAUAUUAAUGUUGAAGUUUUUAGCCUAGAUUUUAAAUUUUAUUAAGUUUUAUUAAUUUUGAAGUACAUAACAUCUCAGAUUUCAUAUGGAUGUACCGGACUGGGCGCCCUUGAUAUGAGCUGCUCAUUGACCAUAAUAAAAGCUUACAUUACAUAUGUUUUAUUAAGCGUUUUUUAUUUCAUAGGUUAAUGUUUAGAUUUUAUCAUUGGUGCAUGUUUUUGUCUAUUGUAUACUGUUAUUGUUUUAUUUGAUAUUUCUGUGAGCCGCCCGAGUCCUCUUCAGGGGACAUGGAGGCGGGAUAUAAAUAAACGUAUUAUUAUUAUUAUUAUUAUUAUUAUUAUUAUUAUUAUUUAUUUCCCAGGACCGAAUAUAAUCUGUUUUUUUUUGCUUUAAACUGGAUUAUAUGAGUCCGCACUACCAGAUAAUCUGGGAUAAACAGAAAACCUGGGAUCACAUCUUGAGAUAUAGGACAGUAUAGAAGGGGCCAUAACAGAGCUCUUUUUAAAUCUAUUAUAUGAUUAGCAUAUCACAAUAUUAGCAUUAUAUAUAACUAUUGUAUUUAUACCACUGUACUGUAAUAAUAUUAGUAAUAUUACAUGUAAUAUAUGAUAUAUAAUUAAUGUUAUUAUAUUGUAUUAUUAGUAUUAUAUUGCAUUACAUUGUAAUAUUAUCAAUAUUAUAUGUACAUACAAUAUAUUAUAUUAUUAGUAUAGCACAAUAUUAGCAUUAUAUAUUACUAUAUUAUACUAUACCACUAUACUGUAAUAUUAUCAGUAAUAUUACAUUUCAAAUAUAAUAUAUAAUUAAUGUUAUUAUAUUGUAUUAUUAGUAUUAUAUUGCAUUACAUUAUAAUAUUAUGAUCAAUAUUAUAUGUAUAUACCAUGUAUUAUAUUAUUAGCAUAGCACACUAUAAGCAUUAUAUAUUACUAUAUUAUACUAUACCACUAUACUG
ensembl:lncRNA